AAUAGUCCUGUAUGUUAAACGAGAAGACUUUAGAUAUGAUCCAGAGUACCACGGGACACGUGAAACCCUGUGGGAAGCAGGAGGGACCACCCUCCAAGGCUAAAUACUACCUAGUGACCGAUAGCGUAUAGUACCGUGAGGGAAAGGUGAAAAGAACCCCGGGAGGGGAGUGAAAUAGAACCUGAAACCCUGCACUUACAAGCUGUGGAAGCACAUUUCUUGUGUGACCGCGUACUUUUUGUAGAACGGGCCAACGAGUUACGUUAAGUAGCAAGGUUAAGCACUUAAGGUGCGGAGCCGUAGCGAAAGCGAGUUUUAACUGAGCGUUCAGUUACUUGACGUAGACCCGAAACCGGGCGACCUACCCAUGAGCAGGAUGAAGCGAAAGUAAAAUUUCGUGGAGGUCCGAACCCACGAGCGUUGAAAAGCUCGGGGAUGACUUGUGGGUAGCGGUGAAAUUCCAAUCGAGCCCGGAGAUAGCUGGUUCUCCCCGAAAUAGCUUUAGGGCUAGCCUCAAGGUGAGAGAUACGGAGGUAGAGCACUGAAUGUCCUAGGGGGUAUUGCACCUACCGAAGACUAUCAAACUCCGAAUGCCGUCAUCUUAUACUUGGGAGUCAGACUGUGGGUGAUAAGAUUCAUAGUCGAAAGGGCAACAGCCCAGAUCGU
rnacentral:rRNA from 1 species